rnacentral:sRNA from 1 species
UCGGAGGCCACCAGCCUGUCCUCUGUGGCCUAUGCCUUUCUGCCCGACUCCCACAGCUACACCAUGCAGGAAUUCGCCCUGCGUUACUUCCGGAGGUCCCAAGCCUUGCUGGGCCAGACUGAUGGAGGUGCCACAGGAAAGGACACGGACAGCCUGGUGCAGUACACCAAGGCUCCCAUCCAGGAGUCGCUCCUCAGCCUCAGUGAUGAUGUGAGCAAACUGGCUGUAGCCAGCUUCCUGGGUGAGUGGCCACAGGCAUCCUGGGUCCCCAUGUCUGCAGUGCCAUGAACCUGGGUGUCUGGUCCCCUUAUCUCCUUGAGCUCUGCCUGGCUCUGUCCCAGUCUGCCAACUCCGGGAAGCUCACUGGUGGUUCCUGGACCCCAGGGCCCUCACCCGCUUCUACUCCCACUCAAGGGUUGUGGGUUGUGUGGAGUCUGGGGUUGGAAGGCAGUCCAUGGGUCCAGAGGAAGCUAUGUGCUGUGUGGGGCCUUGGAUACCCAGGAGCCUCAGUUUCCCCAUGAGUCGAG